GUCCCCGUCCUCUCGCGGCGGCUUUCCCUCGGUCCCCUCCGCCUCUCCUCCUUCCCUUCUCCGGCCUCCUCCCUCUUCUCGCCAGCCUCCCUCCUGGCCCUGCGCGCUCUCCCGUGCCUCUCCCUCCGCUCGUGUCAUUGUGUCAUUCUUUCUUUCCUCCUCGCUCCUGUCUCGGUACGUCUGUCCUUCCACUGCCGGCGUGUCCUCGUCCUCUGCGCUGGGGCGACGGGUCUUCGCGUCUUACUCUCUCUCUCCGCCGGCCCCCCUCCCUGUGUGUCCCCUGCCUGCUCCCGGGGCUCCAUCCUCCCCUUCUCCGGCCUCCUCCUUCCGCGUCUCCUCUCUCCUACACCUUCCCCAGGCAGGCUCUGCAGUUCCCGCUCCCUCUCGGCUCUCCCAGCCUCCCUCCCCUCGCUGAGGUUCGGUACCCCCGCCCCCCACUGGGGACUCGAAGGUGAAUCAGACCCAAACGUGCCCUUGCAGCGGGAGCUCACGGUGUGAUGGGAGAGACAGACCCAGCCGCAGACAGUCCCAUUCCGGGGUGAUGGGGUGUGACCGAGGGCGAGACCAGAGGCUGAGAGAGCCGGGGCGGAAGGAAUCCUCGCAGCAGGUCCACCAGGGGGGACCUCCAGAGAAGGCGUGGUUGUGGCGUGACCUCCAAGAACCAGAAGUUAGACCUGAAUUGUUGAGAGGGGCAGCAGUAAGGGCGUUCCAGGCCCAGGGCACAGCUUAAGCAAAGGCCCAAAGGCAGGAAACCAAGGUGAUUCCGGAGGACAACAAAGCAGUCAAGUCUGACUAGAGCGGUAGGGGCCGGGAGCCAAGGAGCGUAGAAGAAGCUGGGGUGAGUGGGCGGGGCCGUUCUCGGCGUGUCCAAGGCCAGGCUGGGAACUUAGUCUUCCCAGAGUGACAGGGAGCCACGGAGGGUUGUGAGCAAGGGGAGGGACGGGGAGAGAUGGAUGGGGUAGGACCAGCGGGCAGAGAGGACCCCGAGGGACUGGGCACUGCUGGGUUGUGGGUGAGGGUGAGGAGCCAGGGGAUGGGAGUUGUUCCCAGCGGGGAGCCAGGACGAAGAAGAGGGUGGAGGAGAGAGAAGACGACGCUGUGGGCAGCUUAGAACCUAGGGGAACGUUAGGGGCUGGGCACAUUUCGGCAGGACAUUCAGGCAGUAUAGAUUUAUGGUUCUAGGGCUUCCUCCCACCGUGCCCCCAGACAUCCAGUUCUCUGGGGACAACUUAUGCUUACAAAUUUCCUGCGCAUUUUUCCAGAGGAAUUCUUACACCUAUGCAAUAUGUUAUACCAUCCUCCUCUUUCUUGUCCCUAGAUGGAAUCACGUUAUUCUGCACCUUGCUUUAAAAAAAAAAAAAAAACACUAUGCCCCAAAGAUUCACCCACAUCCAUGCCGUUAGAGCUCCCUCAUUUGUUUAAAUGGCUCUAUAGUAUUCCCUUUAUUUAUCCAUAAUUCAUGCAAUCAGUUGAGAGACUGGGAGUUGAAACUAAUGAAUAUUGCCUAUUCAAAUCUUCUGGUUUGUGUGUUUUUUUAAAAUUGAUUCCAUUCAGUGUUUUUUAAGCCUCUGAAACCAGCUAUUUGAUAAAUACCUCCAGAUGUUUUAAUUUUUUUUUUAUAAUUACUACAGGGGUGCCCCCUUAUUUAGUUCCAUUUUCCAAAGUUUCAGGUAUCCACAAUGAACUAUAAUUUGAAACAUUAUACACAGAAAAUUCCAGAAAUAAUUGACAAGUUCUAAAUCGUGCGUUCAUCCAGGCAGUGUAACGAAAUCUUGCACCAUCAUUUCCGGAACCUCUGUCAUCCUGUGGACAGGUGUAUCCCCCUGUGUAUGCCACAUGCCCAUUCAGACUUUCAGUAGCUGUUUCAGAUUGAGUUAGCAGAUUGCCUUUUGUGAUACUUCAGGGUUGUGUUUUACACAAGCCUUAUUAUACUUAAUCGUGGUCCCCAAGUACAAGGAUAGUGAUGCUGGUAAUUUUAUUACAAAAUAUUGUUAUAAUUGUUCUAUGAUUGUUGUUAAGCUCUUAACUGUACAUAAUUUGUGAAUUAAACUUUAUCAUAUGUAUGCAUGUAUAGAAAAAAGAAAACAUAGAGCAUUUGGUACUAUCCAAGGUUUUAGAUGUUUAUUGGGGGUCUUGGAACAUAUCGUGUUCCCCCCAUGGUAAGGGGGGAAUACUUGGAUGACAGAAAUAAUAAUGUGAGAACCCAUACCCUUAUUGAAUGACUGCUAAGGGCAGUCCCUACACUAAGUAUUUGCUAUGCAUUACAUAAUUUUUCACAUGGCCACCAUGUUAUUAGAAACAGUUAUUAUUUCCAUGUAAGAACAAGGGACUUGAGGUUCUGAAUAAUGAGUUGCCCAAACUUACAAAGUCAGUGACAGAGCUGGAGACUUGAACCCAGGCCUCUCUGACUUGGGGUGGGGGUUCUUCCUCUGUGAAAAUGUGCUACUUCUAGGGGUUGAUGUUGUGCACAUGUGGACUUGUCAUGCCCACAAAUUCACGUGUGAUUCCAAAGGACCCUUUGUCAGACCCUGUACUUUGGUAUCUGGAAUUCUGUCCCUCUGCACUCACCUUACAUGCCCUGUGGUCAGGACAGGACAGCAGCUGCACAACCAUGCUGACCUUGUCCUGCCCUGAUCCUGGUGUGUUGUGAUUUCAGUGUCUGGGUCUGUCUCUGGGAAUACACUGAGGGCACAGUCUAGGUCUGAGUCAUCUCUGCAUCUUCAAAAUAUCACCCAACAUAGGUGUGGCUCAGAGCAGGGUCUCAGGAAAAUGAUAAGUGAAUGAAUAGGGGGAUGGGUUGUGCUGGGACUUUGAUGAAGUCCCUGGGAUAAGAGAACAUCAUUCCCAUAACUUCCUGAAACGUGAGGCCUCCAUUCCUAUCAGUUGGUAAGUCAUGGAGACUACUUUUGCCACCAUUCUCUAAUGUAUACAGUUCCAAAUCCCUCAGCAUGUGAGCCUCAGCUGUAACAAUUUCCACAAAGACUGAGACACUCCCAUCAGCCCUGGGGACUCAGGGACCCCUCACUCCCAUCCCUCUGAGACUCGAGGCUGGCAUUCCUGGCAGACAUUGGCUCACAGGCAUACUAGACCUUCUCUGCCUCCCUACAGCCGUAAUUCCCACAGCCCUUACACAUAGAGACUGCUAUUCUCUUGACACCCAAGUGCCACCAUUCUUGUUCCUGGGUUGGAACCAUACUCCAAUGGAAAAUAGAAAUUUUCUGCCCUUCACAAGGCCAUCCCCAAAUUUCUGAAAUGGGAACAGCUAAACAGGAAGACACCCUGAACCUGUUCCAAACUAGGUCUGAGUUUAGGACUCUGACAUUGAUACCAUGAAACAGGAGGCAGUGGGUCAUAAAGAACAUCAAAGUAAUGCAGAAUCCUCCUCGAAUGAGAGAUCAAGUCCAAACCCAGGGUAAUCCUUGAGCAGCACAUAAUCCUUACAGGUGGGAUAAUCCUCAGACCGGCAGAACAUAAAAACGCAGAUGAUCCAAAGGCCACAGAUGCUUCCAUGGCACUAUUAAAUAAUCCAAAAUGGUCACUUGCUCCUGUGGACUUGUAGGAAUUGGAGAUGGAGGCAUCAUUUUUGUUUUGGUGAAUGACAAAUCCCAUUCCCAUUAUCUCUUCUGGUCAAGGAGCCUGGGAGAUGGGUGUGGUUAUUUGGGGAGGGUCUCCCCACAGCCUUCCUCUUUGCAAUGGGCCAUACCUACUAAUUUUGAAAGAAAGCCCACAUUCACAUGACUUUUAAUAUAGUAUAUUGUUGUAAUUAUUCUGUUUUUAUUAUUGUUGAUCUCUUGCGGCGUUCAAUUUACAAGUUAAACUUUAUAAUAACUAUGUAUAGAGAAAAAAGAGUCUACCUAGGAUUCAGGACUAUCUGUGGUUUCAGAUCCACCGUGAGUCUUGCAAUGUAUUCCCAGUGAUGAGGGCGACGACUGUUUGAAGACACAGAAGAGACAUUGGAAAGAAGACCACGUGAAGAUGCAGACUGAAGCGAGGCGUCUACAUGCCAUGGAGCAGAAAGGAUUCCUACCAGCCUCCUUGAUUUCCAAAUCCCAUCCUCCACAACUGUAAGAGAAUAAAUU
rnacentral:lncRNA from 1 species